AGCGAACGCUGGCGGCGUGCCUAACACAUGCAAGUCGAGCGCGGGCAUUUCGGGGGUAACCCCGGGAUGUGCUGAGCGGCGGACGAGUGAGUAAUACGUGGACAACCUGCCUUAAAGCUUGGGAUAACUCCGGGAAACUGGAGCUAAUACCGGAUAAGACCACGGUGUCUAUGGAUGCUGAGGUAAAAGGCGGCCAGGAAACUGGCUGUUGCUUAAAGAUGGGUCCACGUCCCANCAGGUAGUUGGUGAGGUAAAGGCUCACCAAGCCAAAGACGGGUAGCUGGCCUUAGCGGGUGGUCAGCCACACGGGGACUGAGACACGGCCCCGGACUCCUACGGGAGGCAGGCAGUGGGGAAUAUUGGGCAAUGGGCGAAAGCCUGACCC
rnacentral:rRNA from 1 species